UUGGAGCCGCCGCCGCCGCCGCGGCUUUUGGGGGUGAUGCCUUUGGCAGUGGCGGAGGCAGUGGCGGAGGCGGUGGCGGAGGCGGUGGCGGAGGCGGUGGCGGUGGCGGUGGCGGUGGCGGUGGCGGUGGCGGUGGCGGAGGCGGUGGCGGAGGCGGACUGUGCACGUCGGCUGUUGCUAUUGCCGUCGCCACCACCCCCAUCACCGGCGGCCAUCACCUCCGUCUCCGCCGCUG
rnacentral:lncRNA from 1 species